rnacentral:rRNA from 1 species
GACGAACGCUGGCGGCGUGCUUAACACAUGCAAGUCGAACGAAGAGCGAUGGGAGCUUGCUUCUAUCAAUCUUAGUGGCGAACGGGUGAGUCACGCGUAAUCAACCUGCCCUUCAGAGGGGGACAACAGUUGGAAACGACUGCUAAUACCGCAUACGAUCUAAUCUCGGCAUCGAGGAUAGAUGAAAGGUGGCCUCUACAUGUAAGCUAUCACUGCAGGAGGGGAUUGCGUCUGAUUAGCUAGUUGGAGGGGUAACGUCCCACCAAGGCGAUGAUCAGUAGCCGGUCUGAGAGGAUGAACGGCCACAUUGGGACUGAGACACGGCCCAGAAUCCUACGGGAGGCAGCAGUGUGGAAUCUUCCGCCAUAGACGAAAGUCUGACGGAGCAACGCCGCGUGAGUGAUGACGGCCUUCGGGUUGUAAAGCUCUGUUAAUCGGGACGAAAGGCCUUCUUGCGAACAGUUAGAAGGAUUGACGGUACCGGAAGAGAAAGCCACGGCUAACUACGUG